GGGGAAUUUUUGAAGGACUUCUACAUUUCCACCUGCUGGACUAAAUCUACUCAACACAUCACAGCUGGACUUGUUCUCAAUCAGCAGAUUUACAUCAUUGGAGUUACAGAAGCAGCCAUUCUGUACCAGUCUGGGUCUGGUGGAGACUCCGGAUUCAUUCAUUUAACAUCCCUUUAAUUAAUCUACUUGGAGUAAUUGUUCAAAAACGAGAUGAACUCCAGCAAUCGGAGUUCAGGUCAUGGUGCAGUGAGCAGGGUGCUGUCCAUGGUGCUGAAUAGACAGUGCUGCCUGUGGUGCCGACAGCAUUACAGCAAGGCUUGGCUGCCUUUAUCCAGGGUGAAUCUCAUCCUACCCUCCAUCACAUGAGCCCUAUGCCUGCCAGCCUCAUAGACAGUCAUGCCACAUACAGAGUUAAUUCAAAAGCUUGCUCCUGAACGAGAUGAAAGAUUGUAUUUGUGCCUGUUACUUGAACCGAUUCCCUCUACACUGUGACACUUGAUGCACCAUAGCUUCUUUGUUGCAGGAAUUUUAGCAGGAAAUGAGGUUUUUCCGCACUCCUCAGCUAUCCAGAAUGCACCAGAAAGAGUCUGGAACUUUUUGAGAGAGAAACAUUUUAGUGAAGCACAAACCCCAAACACGAACACACACAGAUAAACACAU